rnacentral:snRNA from 1 species
GGAUGUGAGGGCGAUCUGGCUGCGACAUCUGUCACCCCAUUGAUCGCCAGGGUUGAUUCGGCUGAUCUGGCUGGCUAGGCGGGGGUCCCCUUCCUCCCUCAACGCUCCAUGUGCGUCCCUCCCGAAGCUGCGCGCUCGGUCGAAGAGGACGACCACCCCCGAUAGAGGAGGACCGUUCCUCGGUCAAGGGUAUACGAGUAGCUGCGCUCCCCUGCUAGAACCUCCAAACAAGCUCCAAGAGAAAAGUAUGAAUGUAUUUACCUUACACUUGCCAAACGGCCGUGGAAUGUGAUCUGUUCCCCUGCUUUU